CAGAUAUGGUUCAUCGGUAGAACAUUGGCUUCCCAAGCCGAAGAGGCGGGUUCGACUCCCGUUAUCUG
rnacentral:tRNA from 1 species